ensembl:lncRNA
CAGGCCAUCCACCCUGGAGGGGAGGGGAUUCCACAGGGAUGUGUGACCAGGAUUCAGGGGUAUUAGGGGCCACUGUGGGGACUGCCCAGCACACGGGCACAGACGAGGCCCUGGGACCCGAGCCUAACCCUAAUGGGAGCCUCUAGAAGUCUGUGUUGGGAGAGGACAAGGUCAGAAUCAGUUCAUUACUACCUUCCCACGGGGGCUGGGACACAAGCGGGGGGGGGGGGUGGCUUUGCCUGGACCCCAGAGCAGGCCCAAGCCCCUCUGAGCUGUGUUCCAUGCCAAGCCCAGCUCCUGGCUCAUCCUUGCUUUGCGAAGUAUGCACCAGCCUCCUGUGAUAGCAGACAGCCCUCUGCCCGGCUCAUUUCGUUGGAGAUCCUCAAACCAAGAUGUUCGCAUGUUGCCUUCCGAGGUCUGGAGGCUGCAGGCUGAAGAUAGUGCGCCCUGUAGACGCUGUCCCCCGCUGGGGAUUUCAUGUCAGGGCUCCCCACCGCCGCUGGCCAUUUGGCCGGAAGGACAGAAAGAAGGCCACGGAGGACAUGGAGAGGCAGCUGGCAGACAUGCCCUCCUCCCUGACAGAGGGGUUGACCCCACAGGCAUCCCGAGAAACAGGUGCUGGGGAUUGCCGGGCAAGACCUCUGACACCACGCGGACCACUGUCCGGUGGUCCAGGAGCCGGAGCCCACGGAGGCCGAGGCCGAGGUUGCUCCACCACCUGAGGAGCUAGAGCCAGAUCUGGUGGGAGGGCUGGUGACUGCAGUGACUUCAGGAGGAGACCAGGAGCCGGCAGGUGACCCGGCACCUGCCCACGGAGAGCCUGGCGCUGUCCAGGAAGAACUGGCACCUGCUCCUGCGCCAGCCCCUGCCCUGCUACAGUUCCUGCCACUCCCCCUUCCCCCACCCCACCCCAGCCCCUGCCUUGGACCCAGAUCCUGACGCGGCUCUUGCCCCUUCCCUUACCCGUGCCUCUGCCUUUGCCCCAGCCCCUGCCCCUGCCUGUGCUCUUGUUCCUGCCCCUGCCCCUGCCCCUGUUCCUGCUCCUGUCCCUGCCAGAGCCACUGCCCCUGACCCAGAUCCUACCCUUGCUCCUGCCCCUGUCCAUACUCCUUCCAGAGCCACUGCCCCUUCCCCUGCCCCUGCCAGGGGUCCCGUUCCUGCCCCUGACCCAGAUCCUGUCCCUGCUCCUGCCCUAGAUCCUGCACCUGCCACUGCUGCUGACCCUGUCCCUCCCCUUGCCCCUGCCCCUGCUCUUACCUCUGUCCCUGCCCCUGUCCCUGCCCCUAUCCUGAGCCCUUCCCCUACUCCUGCUCCUGCAGGGCUCCCAGUCCUGUCCCUGCUCCUGCCCUAGAUCCUGCACCUGCCACUGCUGCUGACCCUGUCCCUCCCCUUGCCCCUGCCCCUGCCCUUACCUCUGUCCCUGCCCCUAUCCUGAGCCCUGCCCCUACUCCUGCUCCUGCAGGGCUCCCAAAGCCACAUCCGGAGCCCACAGCCCUGCAAGGAGAGCUCCUUGUACAAUUACCCUUAGUUCCAUCGCCGGAACCCGAGACCCCGCCCGAUUGUUUCAUCCCCUCCCCCUGUGUUCUUUCUCUCUGGUACAUAUUAACUGUUAUUUCAUCCUUCCAUGUCCUAUAUACUGUUUAUUAUUUGUUUUAAAUAAAAUUACUUGU